rnacentral:lncRNA from 1 species
AGAUAUCUGCUAAGGAACUGAACUGUAUGAAGUAGGAAUUGACAAGCAAGUUACAGAAGGUUCCGCCAACCUGAAAUUCGUCUUCGACGUUUCCAGAAAAUGACACACCAUCACAGUAUCUUCACUUUAAUUAUAAAAAUCUGCAGGUCUAAAUGACUAUUUCUCAGCAGAUGUGAAAGUGUAGUGCCUAUAUCACUGCAGACUGAAUCAAAAAGAUCGCUCACACAUAAAAAGGGAUUCCUAAAAUCCACCCAGAACAGCAAGAUAUUAUUCUAUCUCAAACAAAAUUGAACAAUAGGUCUAUAGCUCAUUAUUACAACAAACUCGACUGCCAUACAAAAUAACAGGCUACAACAAAUUUUGUGACAGAAGCUAGAAAGUAGAAAUCUUACAUCUUUUUCAAAGCUCUGGCGGUUGUUGGCUUGGAGCUCCUAAACCUGCUUUUCGCAUACAGUGCAGGUCAAAUCUCAGCCUCUUGUCAUAGUCACAGUACGAUCUCCCCUGAAAUCCUCCUCACGGGCCACCAUCUCCAAACCUUCAUGGGCCAAAGAAGAAGAUAAUAGAACAUGCCAAACAGAUUGACAAAAGUGUCGUAAUAAGCAUAUAUUUUUAAUUGCGGUAGAAAGAUUGAGCCUAGGAGUAUCUAUUUUUUGUUUCUUUGUGUGUUGCAUUUGCACCUGCACAAAAAUUGAUCACUGCAAUAUUCUUCCUAAUCUAGAAUGUGCAGUAUUUGCCAAUCUAGCUCAUUACAAAAUCAUCAUAUAGGGAAGCUCAGCAUUGAGAAAAGAAAGAUACAAGAAAAAAAAAGAGGAAUAGACAAAGAAGAAAUUAUUAUUGCUAUAUUUUUUCUAGAAGAUAACCUGGCCUAUAUGAUUACAUUGAUCUAGGCAAAGAUCUUUACCCAAGAUCCUUCUCUCUAAUUAUCAAAUAUUCAUGCUUGGAGUUAAAACCAAACAAACUUGCAUCUUGAUCUACCUAGACUUUUUACUUACAACACCGACCGUACAGUGCACUUUAUCCACAGUGCAAACUGAAAGACAUGCAGUUCUUGUUUCAGAAUCGAAGAGAUAUGCACGCAUAUCAUGGUACUGAAAGAUAGUUACUGGAAGAUGAUAGAGUUGUGAUAUGUGACAUAUAACAAAGGUUGCAACGUGGAAAAUCAGAACACAAAAUUCGAAUUGAUCUAGUGAGCGAAUGAUGCUUACACAAUCUGAA